rnacentral:rRNA from 1 species
GACGAACGCUGGCGGCGUGCUUAACACAUGCAAGUCGAACGGUGAAGCGCCUUCCUUUUUGGUGGGUGUGGAUGAGUGGCGAACGGGUGAGUAACACGUGAGUAACCUGCCCCCUUCUUCUGGAUAACCGCAUGAAAGUGUGGCUAAUACGGGAUAUUCUGGGUCUGUCGCAUGAUGGGUCUGGGAAAGAUAUUGUUUCGGUGGGGGAUGGGCUCGCGGCCUAUCAGCUUGUUGGUGGGGUGAUGGCCUACCAAGGCGGUGACGGGUAGCCGGCCUGAGAGGGUGGACGGUCACACUGGGACUGAGACACGGCCCAGACUCAUACGGGAGGCAGCAGUGGGGAAUAUUGCACAAUGGGCGCAAGCCUGAUGCAGCGGCGCCGCGUGAGGGAUGGAGGCCUUCGGGUUGUGAACCUCUUUCGCCAGUGAAGCAGGCCUGCCUCGUUUGUGGGUGGGUUGACGGUAGCUGGAUAAGAAGCGCCGGCUAACUACGUG